GACUACUUGAAACGGCAGGCUGAGCAGUAGUUUUGUAAACUAUUGGUCGGGGGUUCGAGUCCCUCAGGCGGCACCA
rnacentral:tRNA from 1 species